GGGCCCGCACAAGCGGUGGAGUAUGUGGUUUAAUUCGAUGCAACGCGAAGAACCUUACCAGGGUUUGACAUACACAGAAUCUUGUAGAGAUACGAGAGUGCCUUCGGGAAUUGUGAUACAGGUGCUGCAUGGCUGUCGUCAGCUCGUGUCGUGAGAUGUUGGGUUAAGUCCCGCAACGAGCGCAACCCUUGUCCUUAGUUACCAGCGGGUUAAGCCGGGAACUCUAAGGAUACUGCCAGUGACAAACUGGAGGAAGGCGGGGACGACGUCAAGUCAUCAUGGCCCUUACGACCAGGGCUACACACGUGCUACAAUGGUAGGUACAGAGGGCAGCUACACAGCGAUGUGAUGCGAAUCUCAAAAAGCCUAUCGUAGUCCAGAUUGGAGUCUGCAACUCGACUCCAUGAAGUAGGAAUCGCUAGUAAUCG
rnacentral:rRNA from 1 species